rnacentral:snRNA from 1 species
CCUAAAAGAAAAAAUAAAAAUUGGAAAGAUACAGAGAAGAUUAGCAUGGCCCCUGCUUAAGGAUGAUAUGCAAAUUCGUGAAGCAUUCUGUAAUUUU